rnacentral:rRNA from 1 species
GAUGAACGCUGGCGGCGUGCCUAAUACAUGCAAGUCGAGCGAAUGGAUUAAGAGCUUGCUCUUAUGAAGUUAGCGGCGGACGGGUGAGUAACACGUGGGUAACCUGCCCAUAAGACUGGGAUAACUCCGGGAAACCGGGGCUAAUACCGGAUAACAUUUUUAACCGCAUGGUUCGAUAUUGAAAGGCGGCUUCGGCUGUCACUUAUGGAUGGACCCGCGUCGCAUUAGCUAGUGGGUGAGGUAACGGCUCACCAAGGCAACGAUGCGUAGCCGAGAUGAGAGGGUGAUCGGACACACUGGGACAGAGACACGGCCAGACUCAUACGGGAGGCAGCAGGAGGGAAUCUGCCGCAAUGGACGAAAGUCUGACGGAGCAACGCCGCGUGAGUGAUGAAGGCUUUCGGGUCGUAAAACUCUGUUGUUAGGGAAGAACAAGUGCUAGUUGAAUAAGCUGGCACCUUGACGGUACCUAACCAGAAAGCCACGGCUAACUACGUGCCAGCCGCCGCGGUAA